rnacentral:rRNA from 1 species
GAUCCUGGCUCAGGAUGAACGCUAGCUACAGGCUUAACACAUGCAAGUCGAGGGGCAGCAUGGUCUUAGCUUGCUAAGGCCGAUGGCGACCGGCGCACGGGUGAGUAACGCGUAUCCAACCUGCCUUACACUCUUGGACAGCCUUCUGAAAGGGAGAUUAAUACAAGAUGUUAUCACGGGUAAGCAUUUUCGCAUGAUUAAAGGUUUACCGGUGUAAGAUGGGGAUGCGUUCCAUUAGA